rnacentral:rRNA from 1 species
AUGAAGAGUUUGAUCCUGGCUCAGGAUGAACGCUAGCUACAGGCUUAACACAUGCAAGUCGAGGGGCAGCAUGGUCUUAGCUUGCUAAGGCCGAUGGCGACCGGCGCACGGGUGAGUAACACGUAUCCAACCUGCCGUCUACUCUUGGACAGCCUUCUGAAAGGAAGAUUAAUACAAGAUGGCAUCAUGAGUCCGCAUGUUCACAUGAUUAAAGGUAUUCCGGUAGACGAUGGGGAUGCGUUCCAUUAGAUAGUAGGCGGGGUAACGGCCCACCUAGUCUUCGAUGGAUAGGGGUUCUGAGAGGAAGGUCCCCCACAUUGGAACUGAGACACGGUCCAAACUCCUACGGGAGGCAGCAGUGAGGAAUAUUGGUCAAUGGGCGAGAGCCUGAACCAGCCAAGUAGCGUGAAGGAUGACUGCCCUAUGGGUUGUAAACUUCUUUUAUAAAGGAAUAAAGUCGGGUAUGCAUACCCGUUUGCAUGUACUUUAUGAAUAAGGAUCGGCUAACUCCGUGCCAGCAGCCGCGGUAAUACGGAGGAUCCGAGCGUUAUCCGGAUUUAUUGGGUUUAAAGGGAGCGUAGAUGGAUGUUUAAGUCAGUUGUGAAAGUUUGCGGCUCAACCGUAAAAUUGCAGUUGAUACUGGAUAUCUUGAGUGCAGUUGAGGCAGGCGGAAUUCGUGGUGUAGCGGUGAAAUGCUUAGAUAUCACGAAGAACUCCGAUUGCGAAGGCAGCCUGCUAAGCUGCAACUGACAUUGAGGCUCGAAAGUGUGGGUAUCAAACAGGAUUAGAUACCCUGGUAGUCCACACGGUAAACGAUGAAUACUCGCUGUUUGCGAUAUACAGCAAGCGGCCAAGCGAAAGCGUUAAGUAUUCCACCUGGGGAGUACGCCGGCAACGGUGAAACUCAAAGGAAUUGACGGGGGCCCGCACAAGCGGAGGAACAUGUGGUUUAAUUCGAUGAUACGCGAGGAACCUUACCCGGGCUUAAAUUGCAGAUGAAUUACGGUGAAAGCCGUAAGCCGCAAGGCAUCUGUGAAGGUGCUGCAUGGUUGUCGUCAGCUCGUGCCGUGAGGUGUCGGCUUAAGUGCCAUAACGAGCGCAACCCUUGUUGUCAGUUACUAACAGGUUCUGCUGAGGACUCUGACAAGACUGCCAUCGUAAGAUGUGAGGAAGGUGGGGAUGACGUCAAAUCAGCACGGCCCUUACGUCCGGGGCUACACACGUGUUACAAUGGGGGGUACAGAGGGCCGCUACCACGCGAGUGGAUGCCAAUCCCCAAAACCUCUCUCAGUUCGGACUGGAGUCUGCAACCCGACUCCACGAAGCUGGAUUCGCUAGUAAUCGCGCAUCAGCCACGGCGCGGUGAAUACGUUCCCGGGCCUUGUACACACCGCCCGUCAAGCCAUGGGAGCCGGGGGUACCUGAAGUGCGUAACCGCGAGGAGCGCCCUAGGGUAAAACUGGUGACUGGGGCUAAGUCGUAACAAGGUAGCCGUACCGGAAGGUGCGGCUGGAACACCUCCUUU